rnacentral:lncRNA from 1 species
GCCCCCGGCGGGCGGGCGGUCGGUCAGGCCCGGCACACAGCAGCGGCCUGCCCGGGGCAAUCCGCAGCGCGGCUCAGCCAGCCCGGCACACAGACCCGAAGGAUGGCUCUGGAGCCCCGAGCGCUGCUCACAUUCAGCUUGCCAGUGGCACACAGAGUUUACUCAGCCCUCCUCCUGGCUGGAGUCACUUCGACCAUGAAGUAUUUUUCCCGGUACCAUCGCUCAGAGUGAUGACAAAUCCAAAGGGUUUUUUGAAGGCCAUUUUUGUGUGGUUUUGCAUAAUGAAUGGCAGUUUCACUGAGCAGAGAAAUACUUUUGGAUUCCUGUUAGAAAUUCAUUCAGAGCAGCAGAAAGCCAUCAGAGAGACUGAAUGCACAGGAAGAGAUGAAACCUGCAAUGCUGCCCACUUCCUUCUUCCCCCUGCUUGGUGCCUCCUGCCAAUAAAUAAAAACCCAUAUGCAUGUGGGUUGUGAUAGACACAGGUUCUUGUCCUCCUGCUGCCUGCUUCAGCACAGGGAGUUGAUGUGAGAUCUCCCACUCUCCAUGAGAGUGUUCUACCUGCUAGACUUGGAGGUAUGCAGAGGAGGAGCUGCUCUUCUAAACCUUUUUUGCUCUAAACUGCUUACACAUUGCCUGAGGGGAAAAAAAGCUGUGGCAGAUAGUGAUGAAGAAAGAUGCUGAGCAAGUCAACACAUUGAACAACUACAAAAAUGCUGAAUUAUCUAUGCAAAGGACAAUAUCUUCAUCUCAGGGAGUUAAGACAAUCAGCCUGUAAAACCUUGUGGUGCAGUAUCAAGGCCAAAUCCUAGGAAACAGAGGGGAGAUGCUUAGACAAACAUCAUAAAUACUGAGACAUCUAUGGGAUCCCUGCCUCUCACUAGCUUAAUAGUUGUAAUCUUUUGAGUUUAUUAAGUGUGCCUAGAAGUUAAUUGAAAGUAUUUAUUUAGUGAGCAAAAUUAACUGUUUCAGUACUAUGGAAAAACUGAGUGAAUAUUGAUUGAUUUAAUUUGAUUUUUAAACUACAAUUUAUAUCAGGAAGGAGGAAAAGGGAAGAAAAACUAGCAAAGUGAGCGGAUCCAAUGGACCAAAGCAAUUUGGGAUUUACCAUGGCUAAUAUUAUAUGCAUAAGUACUUCUUUUGCAGAAGAAAGAUUCUGCUGCAGAAACUAUUUUAAUAGACUUCAGUAUAUGUUGGAUAGGGGAAAUCUUUGAUCAGUUCAGGAAGAAGGCAGGGUGUUUAUUUUCUUUAAUCUCACUCAACAGCAACAAAUAAAGUAAGACUGAUAAUAGUCCA